rnacentral:rRNA from 1 species
CUUUACUGUAGCUUUGCAUUGGACUUUGAAUCGGUCUGUGUAGGAUAGGUGGGAGGCGUUGAUAACAGGAUGCUAGUUCUGUUGAAGCCAACCUUGAAAUACCACCCUGAUUUAUUUGAGGUUCUAACCUUGGCCCGUUAUCCGGGUCGGGAACAGUGCAUGGUAGGCAGUUUGACUGGGGCGGUCUCCUCCCAAAGUGUAACGGAGGAGUACGAAGGUACGCUUGGUACGGUCGGACAUCGUACCUAAAGUGCAAUGGCAAAAGCGUGCUUAACUGCGAGACCGACAAGUCGAGCAGGUGCGAAAGCAGGUCAUAGUGAUCCGGUGGUUCUGUAUGGAAGGGCCAUCGCUCAACGGAUAAAAGGUA